rnacentral:lncRNA from 1 species
UCUUUCAGGUGGUGAAAAACAGUUACAGUCUUAGCAUAGACUUGUCGGCAUUCACGUCUGCAAAGAAAGUGCAAUAACAGCAUUUGAAAAUGGAAAAAGCAUACUGCAAGAUUUGAUCUUUGACAUUAAACAGUCACUUGUGUCUGAAAUGCUACUGGGAUACUCUACUAAGACUAAAAUUCAAAGCAAAAUGAGAAAAAACAUGUUUUCAGUUCACACUUUGCCUAAUAAAUCAAAGUAUGAUACAGGCCAAUACUGAAGAUGUCAGGAUAAGGCACAAAAAUCUCCAAAUUGUAAGUUAUAUGGAAACUUGCUC